rnacentral:rRNA from 1 species
AGAACGAACGCUGGCGGCGUGGAUAAGACAUGCAAGUCGAACGCGAUUUAUCGAGUUAGCAAUAACUUGGUAGAUUGAGUGGCGAAAGGGUGCGUAACACGUGGGAAUUUACCGAGAAGUGGGGAAUAGCUCGACGAAAGUCGAAUUAAUACCGCAUGUGAUCGAAAGAUCAAAGCCGGGGACCGCAAGGCCUGGCGCUUCUUGAGAAGCCCGCGGCCCAUCAGCUAGUUGGCGGGUAAAAGCCCACCAAGGCUAUGACGGGUAGCUGGUCUGAGAGGACGACCAGCCACACUGGAACUGAGACACGGUCCAGACACCUACGGGUGGCAGCAGUCGAGAAUUUUUCACAAUGGACGAAA